GACGAAGGGGGCUAGCGUUGUUCGGAAUUACUGGGCGUAAAGCGCGUGUAGGUGGUUGUCCAAGUUGGAUGUGAAAGCCUUGAGCUCAACUCAAGAAAUGCAUUCAGGACUGGAUGACUAGAGGACCGGAGAGGAUAGUGGAAUUCCCAGUGUAGUGGUGAAAUACGUAGAGAUUGGGAAGAACACCAGUGGCGAAGGCGGCUAUCUGGACGGUUUCUGACGCUAAGACGCGAAAGCGUGGGGAGCAAACAGG
rnacentral:rRNA from 1 species